rnacentral:rRNA from 1 species
AUUGAACGCUGGCGGCAGGCCUAACACAUGCAAGUCGAGCGGAGCGGCGGACGGGUGAGUAACGCGUAGUAACAUGCCUUAGAGAAGGGGAUAGCCUUUGGAACGGAAGAAUAAUACCCUAACCUAUAAGAUGGACUUGCGUCGUAUUAGCUAGUUGGUGGGAUAAUCGCUCAACAAGGCAACGAUCAGUAGCCGGCUUGAGAGAGUGUACGGCCACAUUGGAACUGAGACACGGUCCAGACUCCUACGGGAGGCAGCAGUGGGGAAUAUUGGACAAUGGGCGAAAGCCUGAUCCAGCCAUGCCGCGUGUGUGAAGAAGGUCUUCGGAUUGUAAAGCACUUUAAGUUGGGAGGCGUUACCAACAGAAUAAGCACCGGCUAACUUCGUGCCAGCAGCCGCGGUAAUAC